AGAGACAAGCCCUGCAAGGGGUGGCCUGAGCACAGCUUCCUCUGGCAUAGCUCUGGACCUGGGACAGUCUGAAAGAAGACCUGCAGAAAAAGGCUUCCCAAUGGAGAGAGGCAGCCCUGGAACUGGAAAAGAGCAGAAGAAUCAACCCUACCUUUCACCAAACUGGAAAAUACAAUUUUAAAUACCAGCUUUUAGAGGGCACAGAUCAGUUCUCUGAACUGUGGUUUAUUCUGGGAAUUAACAUGAAUGAAUCAAGACCCAAGAGGCACAUGGGCAGAAUUUCCUGUUGGAAACAGUAAUCCAGGAUUGACCUUGACAGGAGCAGGGAAUCAGUCUAGAGCUGCAGAGGGAAAAAUGGGAUUACUUGUGGGAGAAGGGAGGAUGCAGAGGGAACAGAAGCCCUCUCUCUCCCUCAUUCUCCUGCAUCAGCCUCUUACAUCCUUCUCCCAGCAAAGUUCCAGAACAGGCUCCUUUGAUGUCUUUUUCCUAAUAUGGAACACUCUGUUCUUUCAAAUCUUAGGAAUAAUUCCCAUAAUAUCAGUUCUUCCUGAGUAGAGGGAGCCACAGAGACAUUAGGAUUGGCAUUUGGUGAUGUCAAACCCUCAGCAGCACAAUAGCCAUUACAACAGAUCACUCCUGCAUUUGGUCUAGGGGCACUACAGCUCAAACUGGACUAUAUUUCAAAUGAGAACAAAAAAAAAUAGUUUCCUUCAGCAAAACAUGGUCAUUGCCCAGCUAUCACUGUGGAAGCACAAGAGGUUAGGACUGUAUUUUCCAAAUCAACAAGACAGAAACCACUGAAUACUCAGCUGAGUUUGAAUAUUCCAAAUGAAAAAUUUACCUUUGAAAGAUUACAAAGGACUGCUAAAUAUUCUCACUGCAGUCCAAUUUGACUUGUAUGUUCUGUCUUCAUAGGAUUCUCUCUCCCCUUUAAAUUACCUUGCCCUUUUGCUGUCUUGCUCCGUCAGCAGUACUCUAAGAGCCAUAAUUCAUGGACUGAAGCAGUAAUUUACAGGUGGUAAAGUGUUGUCCUUUCAAAGUUUCUCAUAGCUCUGGAAACACUUCUAUCUUCACAAGAGAGCCCUCAAGCAGUGAAAACAUGAUGUGACAAAUAACAACUUUGCUUUGUAGUGUGUGAGCGACUGACCUUUCUGCAGGAGAGAGGACAUGGAAGAGUGGAGAGGGAGCUGCCCCAGCUUGGAGAAAUGCUGUUCUGCUUAACUGAGCGGUGCCCAGAGGAAUUUGAGUCUUAUGGCUGCUAUUGUGGCCAAGAGGGAAGAGGUGAACCCGCCGAUGCACUGGACAGGUGUGGGCUCCUCUGUAUGUGCCAUUAACUGUGGGUGUUACUUGGUGCCCAUGGACCAAGGAAGAUCACUACAUCAUUUUCUGGGCAUUCUACAGCUUUGUAGCAGUAGUCAAGUCACAUUCUGGAGGAAAACAUCCACUCAAAUACAUAAAACACAAAAUACUCUAAUGUGACUAAACCACAUUCUAUUGUUGUGCCAAUAUGUUGGAGAGGACUUACUAGCUCCAAAUAAGAAAGGAGAAUGAUGGGGGAAAGUCAAGCAGAAGAAGAAGUAUAUCAAAGGGAAAAGGGAUAAGGAUAUGGGUCACUUGGCUAAGAGGUGGCUUGGAAAGUGACUUUUGAAGAGAAGAAUUAACACCCACCCAGGGCACAGUGUCCUCCAGAAGGGAGCAGAGCUGGAGCAAAGUUCUGCCAGAGCUGCAGCCAAGAGCCAGCAGGGCUGACCAUGAGGGGCAAUGCAGAGAAUUCCACAAAUAAAAACACCUCUGGGAGUGUUUUAUUCAUAGCUAAAAAUCUCCUCCUCUGGGGACGUUCAUAACAGUUGGGGCACAUCAGGUCCAAGUAGAGCACACACCUUUUUCCUGCACUCACACACAAACAAGGCAGCCCAGGCAUCAAAACUUGGAUUAGAUGAUGGCAUGAUCUGGGUAUCAUGAUGCAGUUUCCAGAUUUCCAGCCAAGAUUUGAACACUGGGAGAUACUUCUCAUGGAAAACUAGGUCAUGGUUGCAAUUGCAAUUGUACCUUAAAAUUAAAACACACCCCUGUUAAACACAUGACAUGAAAAGAAUGAGGAAGCGGAGAGUGAAAGUAGGAACAAAUAUAGGAAGUAGGAACAACUUAGGUUGAUUUUUGUUCUUUAUAUAAAAAAAAAUUCCAGGGUAUGAAAACCAAAUUUUUUUCGUUUUAAUGGGCAUUGAAAAUAAAGACAAAUAAUUGUGAGAGUUAUGGGAUUCAGGAAGAGUAAGUAUUUUCUAUUUACUUCUACUGUUUAUUUUAGAUGCUGCUUCUCUCAUCACUGCUGUAUGGAGCAAGUUAAGAAACUUGGAUGUCAUGCAGAAAGAAAUCUGAGAUCUGAAGUUGUAUGUUUUGAUCACACACCAAAAUGUAAGCUUGUGUGAGAGGAAAUUCUCAUGUCCUGAUGACAGUGUAUCAACAUGAUAGACUGAGUGACACUAUGACAGAGCUGCUAGAGCUGAAUAUGGAGACACAAAUGGAGCUUACAAAAAAUUAGCAAUGUUUACUAUAAACUUGAACUUUUUUCCCUAGUUGAGACAAAGUUUAUUACACUGCUGUGUAUGUGACAAGGUCAGGCUGAGAAAAUUACAUUCAGACAUUUUAUAAUUAUGGUCAGAAGUCAGCUAUUUGUGUCUUUACAUUCACAAAUUCAACUAAAGCCAGCAGAACCUUCCACUGCCCAGCGCCUUGGUGUCAGGCUUUUGUUUAGGUUAUUAACGGUGACUUUGGAGACUAAAAUUCAUGGCAGAUUCGAAAAUUUUAUUUUCAAAAGCUCAUCAACCCACGGCAGAUUAUACAUGAAGUAAGUUCAACAGCUUUCAAACAUGAAUGGUGAACCUUCUCUUUCAGGCGUUGGCUGGAGCACGUGUGAGAAGCUCCUUUGCGCCUGCGACACGGCCGCGGCCGAGUGCAUGGCUU